rnacentral:tRNA from 1 species
UCCCUGCUGGCUCAGAUGGUGAAAAGAAUCUGCCUGCAAUACAGGAGACCCAGGUUCGAUCCCUGGGUCAGGAA